rnacentral:snoRNA from 1 species
AAAAGCCUGUGAUGUGAUGUGAUGUUAUCCCUGUCUGAACAUCAGAUGUGAGGGAAAAUGAGUAUCAUCUGAGGCUUGG